rnacentral:rRNA from 1 species
CAGUCGCCGCGGGAACACGAAGGGUGCAAGCGUUAAUCGGAAUUACUGGGCGUAAAGCGUGCGUAGGCGGUUUGUUAAGUCUGCUGUGAAAUCCCCGGGCUCAACCUGGGAAUGGCAGUGGAUACUGGCAAGCUAGAGUGUGUCAGAGGAUGGUGGAAUUCCCGGUGUAGCGGUGAAAUGCGUAGAGAUCGGGAGGAACAUCAGUGGCGAAGGCGGCCAUCUGGGACAACACUGACGCUGAGGCACGAAAGCGUGGGGAGCAAACAGGAUUAGAUACCCCAGUAGUCCCUGUCUCUUAUAC